GAGCGAAAGCAUAACCAUAAUAAAACAAAUUAUGGCAUCUUCGCACUAGCGGUGGCAAACCUGAAGAAAGAGCGCAGCUGGAUGGCCUUUCUUGUUUCUCUUUAUUUUUUUAUUCCUUUCUUUCUCUUUCUACUCUUUCUUUCUCUCUCUCUCUCUGCUACGCUGUCUCUUUCUUUGUUU
rnacentral:lncRNA from 1 species